rfam:Camelus ferus unplaced genomic scaffold scaffold35431, whole genome shotgun sequence.
GAGGGUAUAGCUCGAUUAAUAGGGUGCCUGCUUAGCAUGCAUGAGGUCCUGGGUUCAAUCCCCAGUACCUCCA